CGCGCCCGUUUGGCUUAGGGGUACAGCGUCUCACUCGUAUACAUGCGAAAUGAGAAGAUCCUCGGUUCGAUUCCGAGAAUGGGCAC
rnacentral:tRNA from 1 species